rnacentral:rRNA from 1 species
UAAAGGAAUUGGCGGGGGAGCACCACAAGGGGUGAAGCCUGCGGUUCAAUUGGAGUCAACGCCAGAAAUCUUACCCGGAGAGACAGCAGAAUGAAGGUCAAGCUGAAGACUUUACCAGACAAUGCUGAGAGGUGGUGCAUGGCCGUCGCCAGCUCGUGCCGUGAGAUGUCCUGUUAAGUCAGGUAACGAGCGAGAUCCUCGCCACUAGUUGCUAUCAUUAUUCUCAGGAAUAGUGGGGCGAAUUAGUGGGACUGCCGUUGUUAAAACGGAGGAAGGAGGGGGCUACGGCAGGUCAGUAUGCCCCGAAACUCUGGGGCCACACGCGGGCUGCAAUGGUAGCGACAAUGAGCUCCAAACUCGAAAGAGAGUGGCAAUCUCUAAACGCUACCACAGUUAUGACUGAGGGCUGUAACUCGCCCUCACGAAUAUGGAAUCCCUAGUAACCGCGUGUCAUUACCGCGCGGUGAAUACGUCCCUGCUCCUUGCGACACACCGCCA